GCCCCCGUUGUGUAGCGGCCUAGCACGCCGCCCUCUCAAGGCGGUAGCGCCGGUUCGAAUCCGGUCGGGGGUACCU
rnacentral:tRNA from 2 species